CUGACAAUGUUUUCUUUCGGCACCAGCAUUUUUCAGCUGUAGUGACCAUUAUGUGAACAGUGAAUGGCGAGCCUGAGGCCAACAGUCCAAUGUAAAAUCACAGGACCCUGGAAACAUCACUGUUGAAAUACCGUGACAUUAUCGCGGCCACAGCUUGUUUUUGUAAAGCAAUCAUUUGCACGAAGUUACUUCAAACAUACGUGUCUCAAAGGAAACAUUGCCGAGAGUUAAAUAAAUGGAUAAAAAUGCAGAGCGGCAAAGAAAGAGAAAAUCAAUGAAAAUGUAACAUCGGAUAAAACGUAAUAUUAUUAGUAAGGUGAUUUAUUUUUGACUAAGAGGUAUAUUCUUCAAAUAAAUUGCUGUUGCAAAUGAUGUACUCACUGGCAUACUCUGAAAAAAAAUUACUUCCUGAAGCAAAUUGGAUAAUUUUGCAAAAACUGUUGGAGUGUGGGAGGAAACUGGAGAUUCCGGAGAAAACCCAUGCAGUCACGGAGAGAACGUACAACUCCGUACAGACAAGCACCCGUAGUCAGGAUUGAACCCGGGUCUCUGGCUCUGUAAGGCAGCAACUCUACCACUGUGCCACCGUGAUGCACUCUGUUCAUAACUUUCUUAGCAUAUAACUUUAAUAAAAAACGUAAUCA